rnacentral:rRNA from 1 species
UACGAAGGGGGCUAGCGUUGUUCGGAAUUACUGGGCGUAAAGCGCACGUAGGCGGAUAUUUAAGUCAGGGGUGAAAUCCCAGAGCUCAACUCUGGAACUGCCUUUGAUACUGGGUAUCUUGAGUAUGGAAGAGGUAAGUGGAAUUGCGAGUGUAGAGGUGAAAUUCGUAGAUAUUCGCAGGAACACCAGUGGCGAAGGCGGCUUACUGGUCCAUUACUGACGCUGGGGUGCGAAAGCGUGGGGAGCAAACAGG